rnacentral:rRNA from 1 species
GUAGGUGGCAAGCGUUGUCCGGAAUUAUUGGGCGUAAAGCGCGCGCAGGCGGUUCUUUAAGUCUGAUGUGAAAGCCCACGGCUCAACCGUGGAGGGUCAUUGGAAACUGGAGAACUUGAGUACAGAAGAGGAAAGCGGAAUUCCACGUGUAGCGGUGAAAUGCGUAGAGAUGUGGAGGAACACCAGUGGCGAAGGCGGCUUUCUGGUCUGUAACUGACGUUGAGGCGCGAAAGCGUGGGGAGCAAACAGGGAUUAGAUACCCUGGUAGUCCACGCCGUAAACGAUGAGUGCUAAGUGUUAGGGGGUUUCCGCCCCCUUAGUGCUGCAGCUAACGCAUUAAGCACUCCGCCUGGGGAUACGGCCGCAAGGCUG